rnacentral:rRNA from 1 species
GCCGUGCAAUUCGGCAUGGUCUGAUUAUUGAUUGUCUUGUUGUCUGUUUUAGUUUAGGUUAAGGAGGGUUCGGUAAAAUAUUAUUUUGUUGUUGUAUUCUUUUGAUUUAAUUUUUAUUACGAUAGUUUACUUGUACUGUAAAGGGUUGUUUGUUUAUUUUUUUGGAAGCUGGCUUGUUUUGUCGUACCUUGUGUAUCAGGGUUCAUUGAAUUUUAUUAUUUAUUUUUAUUUCCCGAUUUUAAAGGAGUUAAUGAUUUAUUUUGGUUGCUGUUUCAUUAGCAUUAAGGAUAAGUUGUUGGUAGUGAAAUGUUAUUCGUCUUUAGUGGUUUCUGGUUCUUCAAGAAAUGAAUUUAAUUCAUGCAUCUUGUUUAGAUUUUUACUGUUGUUUAUUUUUUUUUACUUGAUGUUAAGAUUAGGGGGGAUUAGCUCCUUAUUUUAUUUUUAUAAUUUUCAUUUUAAUUUGGUUUUGUGGAUUUUAUAGUGAUUUUCAAUUUGAUUAUGUUAAAAUUUUAUUUUUCUUUUUCUUUAUUUUGGUUUAUUUAUUUUGUUUAUUGGAGUGUUUCCUUUAUUUUUUAUUGGAUUGUAAUUAUUGUGGAAUUAGUAAAUUUUGUUUAGUUGUGUUGUUUUUAUCUUGCGUUUAAUUUCUUUUGAGGAAUUAGGCAAAAUUUGUGUCCGCCUGUUUAACAAAAACAUCUCUUCUUGUUAGUUUUUGAAGUAUGGCCUGCCCGCUGACUUGAGUGUUGAAGGGCCGCGGUAUUUUGACCGUGCAAAGGUAGCAUAAUCAUUAGUUCUUUAAUUGUGAUCUGGAAUGAAUGGCUUGACGAGACACGAGCUGUCUUAAAUUGGAUGUUUUAUUGAAUUUGGUUUUUGAGUUAAAAUUCUUAGAUGUUUUUAUGGGACGAGAAGACCCUAUAGAGUUUGACAUUUUGUUUACUUAUUUGUUUAUUGUUUGUUUUAGUUUUGGUAAGUGGGCUUUUUGUUUUGUUGGGGUGAUGAGAGGAAUGGGUUUAAACUCCUCUUUAUCUUGGUUAUAUUGAUUUAUAUUUAUUUGAUCCAUUUGUUUUGAUUAUAAGAUUAAAUUACCUUAGGGAUAACAGCGUUAUCCCCCUUGAGAGUUCUUAUCGGCAGGGGGGCUUGCGACCUCGAUGUUGGAUUAAGAUGAAUUUUUGGUGUAGGAGCUAAAAUUUGUAUUGGGUCUGUUCGACCUUUGAAAUCUUACAUGAUCUGAGUUCAAACCGGCGUGAGCCAGGUUGGUUUCUAUCUAUAAGUGUUUUUUUUACCUUAGUACGAGAGGACCAGGUAUUUGGAAUAAUUUUGUUGUUGUUGAAUUUUAUUAACUGUUAUGCUAUUUUGGCAGAUAAGUGCACUGGAUUUAGAAUCUAUUAA